ACAGCAGCAGCCACGGGAAUACGGAGGGUGCAAGCGUUAAUCGGAAUUACUGGGCGUAAAGCGCACGCAGGCGGUUUGUUAAGUCAGAUGUGAAAUCCCCGAGCUUAACUUGGGGACUGCAUUUGAAACUGGCAAGCUAGAGUCUUGUAGAGGGGGGCAGAAUUCCAGGUGUAGCGGUGAAAUGCGUAGAGAUCUGGAGGAAUACCGGUGGCGAAGGCAGCCCCCUGGGCCAACACUGACGCUCAUGCACGAAAGCGUGGGGAGCAAACAGGAUUAGAUACCCGUGUAGUCCCUGUCUCUUAUAA
rnacentral:rRNA from 1 species